GCCAAUGCAGUCUUUGAAAAUCCUAAGUUGUGGCCUUAGAGAAGGAUUUAAUCCCUUUAGCC
rnacentral:tRNA from 1 species